GUCCACGCCGUAACGUUGGGCACUAGGUGUGGGACUCUAUCGACGGGUUCCGUGCCGUAGCUAACGCAUUAAGUGCCCGCCUGGGGAGUACGGCCGCAAGGCUAAAACUCAAAGGAAUUGACGGGCCCGCACAAGCGGCGGAGCGUGUGGCUUAAUUCGAUGCAACGCGAAGAACCUUACCUGGGCUUGACAUGUAGGGAAAAGCCGGUGAAAAGCCGGUGUGCUUCGGCGUCCUACACAGGUGGUGCAUGGCUGUCGU
rnacentral:rRNA from 1 species